rnacentral:rRNA from 1 species
UACAGAGGUCCCGAGCGUUGUUCGGAUUCACUGGGCGUAAAGGGUGCGUAGGUGGUGAGGUAAGUCGGGUGUGAAAUCUCCAAGCUCAACUUGGAAAUGGCAUUGGAAACUACCUUGCUGGAGGUUUGGAGGGGGGACUGGAAUUCUCGGUGUAGCAGUGAAAUGCGUAGAUAUCGAGAGGAACACCAGUGGCGAAGGCGGCAUCCUGGACCGACACUGACACUGAGGAGCGAAAGCCAGGGGAGCAAACGGG